rnacentral:rRNA from 1 species
UACAGAGGGUGCAAGCGUUGUUCGGAAUUACUGGGCGUAAAGGGCGCGUAGGCGGCCAUCUAAGUCGAACGUGAAAUCCCCGGGCUCAACCCGGGAACUGCGUCCGAUACUGGUUGGCUUGAAUCCGGGAGAGGGAUGCGGAAUUCCAGGUGUAGCGGUGAAAUGCGUAGAUAUCUGGAGGAACACCGGUGGCGAAGGCGGCAUCCUGGACCGGCAUUGACGCUGAGGCGCGAAAGCCAGGGGAGCAAACGGG